GACAUAAUUUCCUAAAAUUCUUGGCUUGACCUUUUUUAUAAGUUUUCCCUUUCCCUAACAGCUCCCACCCCUUUUGCUUCCUUGGUGAUUCGAACUCGUAACUUUCGAGUUGAAAGUGAAGGGUACCACCCGAGCAACUCCCUCUUGUCUCUUGGCUUGACCUCAAUAUGUUUUUUGUGGAGUUACUUGUAAAUAUAAAUAAAGUCUCCAUCAAUUAUAAUGUUGAUGGUCCAUAUAUUUUGUAAGUAGAAAUGAAGAAACUCAAAACUUGACUUUGUUGCUUAAGGAUGCAUUGUUUCAUUAUCGACAACUAUCGACUCACACAAGAACGGUGACGGGGGAACAACUAAUACCAAUUAGCUCCAAUAAAGAAGGCAAAGGGCUUUUGGCAUCAUGGAAUGCAGCUACAUCCAAACCUGAUAUAGUAGUUGCACUAGAUGGUUCUGGCAAUUACAAGACCAUCAACGAUGCGGUGGCUGCGCUCUCCAGUAUGACACGGCCAGAAAGAACAGUUGUGUAUGUCAAAUCUGGUACAUACCGCGAAAAUGUUGAAAUUGGAAAA